rnacentral:rRNA from 1 species
UGUAGGACACUCUAUACGGAGUUACAAAAGAAAGUUAUAAAUGAAGCGGUCUGGAAAGGCCCGCCAAAGACGGUAACAGCCCGGUAGUUGAAAUGGCUUUCCCUCCAGAGUGGAUCCUGAGUACGGCGGAACACGUGAAAUUCCGUCGGAAUCCGGGAGGACCAUCUCCCAAGGCUAAAUACUCCCUAGUGACCGAUAGUGAACCAGUACCGUGAGGGAAAGGUGAAAAGCACCCCGGAAGGGGAGUGAAACAGUUCCUGAAACCGUGUGCCUACAAGUAGUUAGAGCCCGUUAAUGGGUGAUAGCGUGCCUUUUGUAGAAUGAACCGGCGAGUUACGAUUUGUUGCAAGGUUAAGCGGAAAAAGCGGAGCCGUAGCGAAAGCGAGUCUGAAUAGGGCGCAUAAGUAACAGGUCGUAGACCCGAAACCAGGUGAUCUACCCAUGUCCAGGAUGAAGGUAAGGUAAUACUUACUGGAGGUCCGAACCCACGCACGUUGAAAAGUGCGGGGAUGAGGUGUGGGUAGCGGAGAAAUUCCAAUCGAACUUGGAGAUAGCUGGUUCUCUCCGAAAUAGCUUUAGGGCUAGCCUCGAGGUAAAGAGUCAUGGAGGUAGAGCACUGUUUGGACUAGGGGCCCUUCUCGGGUUACCGAAUUCAGAUAAACUCCGAAUGCCAUGUACUUAUACUCGGGAGUCAGACUGCGAGUGAUAAGAUCCGUAGUCGAAAGGGAAACAGCCCAGACCACCAGUUAAGGUCCCCAAAUAUAUGUUAAGUGGAAAAGGAUGUGGGGUUGCUUAGACAACCAGGAUGUUGGCUUAGAAGCAGCCACCAUUGAAAGAGUGCGUAAUAGCUCACUGGUCGAGUGACCCCGCGCCGAAAAUGUACCGGGGCUAAACAUAUUACCGAAACUGUGGAUGAACCUCUUUAGAGGUUCGUGGUAGGAGAGCGUUCUAAGGGCGGUGAAGUCAGACCGGAAGGACUGGUGGAGCGCUUAGAAGUGAGAAUGCCGGUAUGAGUAGCGAAAGAAGGGUGAGAAUCCCUUCCACCGAAUAUCUAAGGUUUCCUGAGGAAGGCUCGUCCGCUC